CCGUCCAUGAUCAAUACAAAGAAGAGUUGGAUUUCUAGUUGGUCAUAGAAUAUGCAUAAUCAAUUUUGAUUCUUAAUUAGAAUCAACCUUAUAAGGUUUUACACAAUUCUAAUCACAAUUAUUCAACUAUUUUUUUAUGGCUUAUUUGAAAAUACUAUAAGUAGAUAUUUCAAGAUUCAAUUUUAAGAGAAUAACUAGCUUGCAUAGCAAUACCACACAUUCCUCUAUUGUCAUUAUUAUUAUACUUUAUGAUCAACGUCUUUUAUCAUUUAUUGUCUUAAUCUUAUUUAUGCAUAAAUGGAUUCAUUAAUGAUAACAAGACAUUAACAUGACAUAUUAUCUAUAUAUUGUGUUUUUGAUGUGAUUUUUUAGCAUGAGAUGUGGUAAGAUCGAAUUUGAGGCAUCACUAAGUAAUUUCGAUUUCUGAUCAUUAAAAAUUCAAAAUUAGUGGAUAAAUAAGAAACAUAAAGUAAAUAUUAGCGAUCAUCAUUGCAUUAAAAGGCAAAAACUUUCACCAAGGAAUAACAACAAACUAACAUCCUUUAUAUUAUAUUAAGGGAUCUUAUUUAACGUUUUUGUAUGAUAAACAUCUCUAAACGACUAAACCUUAGAUUUUGUCAACUGUUUUCCAACAUUUCAAAGGCAAUUCUCCAUCAACUUUUUACCUGUCAUAUAAUAAAUUGAUUUAAUACGUAUUUCAAGAUUUAUUAAUUUAUAGAACUAUUUAAAGAAUGCUUAAAAUGUGGUAAGCUUAGUAUUAGAACCCAAAAUCAUGAUUAAAUUUAAAAUUAGAAUAGCCGAUAAAUGAAAGAUUGAGAAAAAAAUAAAUAAAUAGAUAGAUAGAUACCUUCUUCGAAUCUAACUCAAUUGACGAUGAAGCAUGUUGCUAUUUCAAGACAGAAAAAUCAGGAUUUUUACAAUCCUCUGAACAAUAUUCAUAAGAACCAACAAUUUCAGCCCAACAUGUCAAAUAACAUUCAUCAAAACACUUUUUAUAUGAAUCUUUAUCAUUCGCCGACACAAGAAAUGACAAAGAAAUCAUAAUUGUUAUAAUUACCGCGAGAAAGAAUGUCCCUUUCAUCACCUUGGACUUCAUUUUUCUCAAUUUCUCUCACUUUUGCCUUUUUCUUUCUUUCUUAUACAAAAAUAAGGAAAAAUUACUUCACUUUAUAGAGAAAAAAAAAUGAUUGAGAUUUAGUAUUAAGGAAAGUAAAUCUCAAGAUUUAGUAUUUAAUGAAAUUAGUACUUCCUCCGUUUGAUUUUACUUGUCACAUUUUGACUCAACAUACCCAUUAAGAAAAACAAUUAAUAACAUGACUAUUUUAUUAAAAUAUCCCUAUUAAAUAAUAUUUUCAUUGUGUCUUGAAAUUGAUUUGAAAAAAAGACAAUUAAUACUAUAGAUAAAAUAGGUAAAAAAAAAUUGUCUUUUCUUGAUAUGUCAAAAAUUACAAGUGAAAGUAAACAUAUAAUUAAAAAAUUAGUCACAAAUAAAAGCAAAGAAAGAAAAUAUCAAGGAAAGUAAAUCUCAAACUUAAGCAGUAGUUGGGAGGAAGACCUUAAAUGCAUGUACCUGAACAUUUAUUCUUUUUUUGUAACCACAAAGAAUAAGUAAAAAUAUAAUCAAAAUAUAUAAACUCACUUUUGACAAACUAAGAAUAAAAAUAUGUUUAAGUGACUAUUUUAAACUACCCAACAUACAAGAGAGUAUUUUUAUUAUUUUUAAAAUGAAAAAAAGGCCAAAUUUAUCUCUUCAUUUUAAUAUAUUAUAUUUCACAUGUCGUUAUAUUACGUGAUCAAAAUUAUUCCAACAACUAGGAAAGUUUUCAAAUAUAUCUUCAAAGUAGCGAAUUUCCACAAUCAAACAUUUAGUUACUGAAUCUCACUUAAUUUUUCAUUGACCCGCAAUUCAUUAUUCGUUAUACAAUAACCAAAAGCUCUAAUAAAGACUAUUAUAAUUUUUGCAAAGGAAAAAUAAUCUCAUUAAUAGAAGGAAGAAACCUCAAUAAUGUAUCAAAAAGAAAUCAUGAAACAGUCAAAAUAAUCUGAAGCUAUUCUCUUCGCCUUUUUAACUUGGGAUCUUUAAAAUCAAGAAGAUAAUUGCUUAGAAAAUUGAUUGCGCUGAAAACUAGUCAAAUAUCUGACUACUGAAUUCAAAAAUGGUCAAAAAUAUUGUACCACAUCAAUUGAAAUUCAUUGAGGCUCAUUAGACAUUUAAUGACCUUAGAAAUUAGAAUUCAUUGAGGCGUUUUAUUAAUAAAAUGUUGUUGUUCCAUCAGAAUUAUAGACAAAUCAAAAACAUCUUAUUUUCAUAAUAAAAUUUCAAAUGUAUCAAGAUUAAUGGAUAUCAAGAUUUUUAAUCUCCAAUAACUAGUUUAUAUUUAUAAAUAUUUUAAUUUAAUAUGGACUAGUUUUAUAAAACAACAUACCUAGUUUCUUGUCUGUUUCGACAAAUUUUGUGGAGAGGAAUAUUGAUCUAUUUUGCCUAGUGACCAAUAUUUGUGCAUACGUAUGCGUUAAAUCCUUCAUUAUUACCUUUUUUUACUAAUCCACUAAAAAAAAAUAAUCUUAUAAAGUUUAAAAAAUCUUAAUCAAUAAAAAAUACUGCCUUUUGAGAUAUUAAUUCCUCCGUCCAUGAUCAAUACAAAGAAGAGUUGGAUUUCUGGUUGGUCAUAGAAUAUGCAUAAUCAAUUUUGAUUCUUAAUUAGAGUCAACCUUAUAAGGUUUUACACAAUUCUAAUCACAACUAUGCAACUAUGUUAUUAUGGUUUAUUUGCACAUACUAUAAGUAGAUAUUUCAAGAUUCAUCCUUAAGAGGGUAACUAGCUUGCAUAGCGAUACCACAU
rnacentral:lncRNA from 1 species